rnacentral:rRNA from 1 species
GGAUUGGGAGGGUUCUACGGAACCCGUUUGGUGAAUCUAGUGCCGAGAAAAGCCUUCUAUGUGUUGAAUUUCUAGUACCCGUACCCCAAACCGACACAGGUGGGUGGGUAGAGCAUACCUAGGGGCGCGUGAUAACUCUCUCUAAGGAACUCGGCAAAAUGGCCCUGUAACUUCGGGAUAAGGGGUGCCUGCGUGAGCAGGCCGCAGUGAAAUGGCUCUGGCGACUGUUUACCAAAAACACAGGUCUCUGCUAAGUCGUAAGACGAUGUAUAGGGGCUGACUCCUGCCCAGUGCCGGAAGGUUAAGGAAGUUGGUUAGCGCAAGCGAAGCUGGCGACCGAAGCCCCGGUGAACGGCGGCCGUAACAAUAACGGUCCUAAGGUAGCGAAAUUCCUUGUCGGGUAAGUUCCGACCCGCACGAAAGGAGUAACGAUCAGAGCGCUGUCUCGGAGAGAGACACGGCGAAAUAGGAUUGUCCGUGAAGAUACGGACUACCUGCACCCGGACAGAAAGACCCUAUGAAGCUUUACUGUAACUUGGAAUUGUGUUCGGACUUUGUCUGCGCAGAAUAGGUGGGAGGCUAUGAAACGUUCCUCGCGGGGAACUGGAGCCAUCGUUGAGAUACCACUCUGGCAGAGUCUGGAUUCUAACCUACGGGGACAGUUCCAGGUGGGCAGUUUGACUGGGGCGGUCGCCUCCUUAAAUGUAACGGAGGCGCGCAAAGGUUCCCUCAGGCUGGUUGGAAAUCAGCCAUAGAGUGUAAAAGCAUAAGGGAGCUUGACUGUGAGACCUACAAGUCGAGCAGGGACGAAAGUCGGCUUUAGUGAUCCGACGGCACUGAGUGGAAGGGCCGUCGCUCAACGGAUAAAAGUUACUCUAAGGAUAACAGGCUGAUCUCCCCCAAGAGUUCACAUCGACGGGGAGGUUUGGCACCUCGAUGUCGGCUCGUCGCAACCUGGGGCGGUAGUACGUCCCAAGGGUUGGGCUGUUCGCCCAUUAAAGCGGCACGUGAGCUGGGUUCAGAACGUCGUGAGACAGUUCGGUCCAUAUCCGGUGUAGGCGUAGGAGCAUUGAAAGGAUCUCUCCUUAGUACGAGAGGACCGGGAGGGACGUACCUCUGGUGUACCUGUUAUCGUGCCAACGGUAAACGCAGGGUAGCCAUGUACGGAGUGGAUAACCGCUGAAAGCAUCUAAGUGGGAAGCCCACCUUAAGAUGAGUGCUCCCUUGAGGCCACGGGAAGACGACCCGUAUGAUAGGCGCUAGGUGGAAGUGCAGUAAUGCAUGCAGCCGAGGCGUACUAAUAGGCCGAUGGC